AAAGGCGUAAUGAAAGUGAAGGUCCGCCUGGCGCGGACCGAGGGAGGAUGGGCGGACCCGAGGGACCGCCUCGCACUCCCGGGGCGUCUCGUUCUCAUCGCGAGAAGAGGCGCACCCAGAGCGUACACGCUGGGACCCGAAAGAUGGUGAACUAUGCCUGGUCAGGACGAAGUCAGGGGAAACCCUGAUGGAGGUCCGUAGCGAUUCUGACGUGCAAAUCGAUCGUCGGAACUGGGUAUAGGGGCGAAAGACUAAUCGAACCAUCUAGUAGCUGGUUCCCUCCGAAGUUUCCCUCAGGAUAGCUGGCGCUCGCUUCUUGCGAGUCUCAUUCGGUAAAGCGAAUGAUUAGAGGCAUUGGGGUCGAAACGGCCUCAACCUAUUCUCAAACUUUAAAUGGGUGAGAUCUCCGGCUUGCUUGAACUGUGAAGCCGCGAGAUAUCGGAUCAGAGUGCCAAGUGGGCCACUUUUGGUAAGCAGAACUGGCGCUGUGGGAUGAACCAAACGCCGAGUUAAAGCGCCUAAAUCGACGCUUAUGGGA
rnacentral:rRNA from 1 species